GAAACACCCGGUCCCAUUCCGAACCCGGAAGUUAAGCCUCUCAGCGUCGAUGGUACUGCACGGGUGACCUUGUGGGAGAGUAGAACGCUGCC
rnacentral:rRNA from 1 species